AAAGGGGGACCUAAUUCAGGUAGGAGACGAAAAAAAAGUAGUCGCUACCAAGAAUCAAUCCCAAAAGGUCGGAGCGAGGCGAAAUUGGCUUUCAAACUAGGUUCUGGGUUCAAACAAGACCUGAAUCAGGAACAAGGGCUAUUAGCUCAGGUGGUUAGAGCGCACCCCUGAUAAGGAUGAGGUCCCUGGUUCGAGUCCAGGAUGGCCCACCUGCACAGGUGGCAAAAACAAGAGAAGCGAGGAAUCAGCACCUUAUCUUACUGACAUAGUAAGAGAGAAUGCUGGCUCUGAGUAAAGAGUCCAGAGGAACCUUGAAAACUGCAUAGAGCUAGGUGAAAAAGCCAAAAAAGAAGACCGCAAGGUCAAGCUAAUAAGGGCUAACGGU
rnacentral:tRNA from 1 species